GUCGCCAUCGUAUAGUGGUCAGUAUCCCCGCCUGUCAGCAUAACUGGUGCGCGGGAGGCCGGGGUUCGAUUCCCCGUGACGGCG
rnacentral:tRNA from 1 species